rnacentral:tRNA from 1 species
GGGGUUGUGGCUCAGUGGUAGAGUGCUUGCCUAGCAUGCAUGAAACAUUGGGUUCAAUCCCCAGCACCA